rnacentral:tRNA from 1 species
AGAGGCAUAGCUUAAUUGGUUAAAGAACUCGGCUUAUAUCCGAGCAAAGCGGAGUCUUGAUAAGGCUCUGUUGAAGGUUCGAGCCCUUCUGCCUCUA